rnacentral:rRNA from 1 species
CAGCACCUCAAGUGGUCAGGAUGAUUAUUGGGCCUAAAGCAUCCGUAGCCGGCGCUGUAAGUUUUCGGUUAAAUCUGUACGCUCAGCGUACAGGCUGCCGGGAAUACUGCAGCGCUAGGGAGUGGGAGAGGUAGACGGUACUCGGUAGGAAGGGGUAAAAUCCUUUGAUCUAUUGAUGACCACCUGUGGCGAAGGCGGUCUACCAGAACACGUCCGACGGUGAGGGAUGAAAGCUGGGGGAGCAAACCGGAUUAGAUACCCGAGUAGUCC